UCCAGAUAAUCCGAUUUUUAAUGUUUUUUGUAACAUUAUUUAUUCAAUAUCUAAUUGUCUAUAUAUUCCUUUUGAAAAUAUCUGAUUUACCUCAAUUUUUUUUUUCUAUAAAAUACUCCUUAGAUAUUGCACUGUUAUUGCAAAAUACCCCCCCAAUUAUCUUAUGUUAAAAAGCAAAUAAGAAUUGUUACCGACGGUAGAGGGGUAUAUUAGAAAAGACCAAAAAUUAAAAUACUUUACGGCGAUAGCGGAAGGGUAUAUUCGAAAGGAAAAAAUAAUGUUUUUUACAGGGAUAAUAGAGUUAAUAAACAAAUUUUAACUCUAGGGGUAUAUUAGAAAUAGGUUGAAACAUAGAAAGUGUAUUUUCAAUAUUAACCUUCUAAGAGAGGUAGCUUGGAAAGUUGGAAACUUUUUAGGAGUAUAUAAGCAAUUGUCCCUAUUAAUAUUAGAGUUAAGGUCAAUUGGGAA
rnacentral:lncRNA from 1 species